rnacentral:rRNA from 1 species
AUUGAACGCUGGCGGCAUGCCUUACACAUGCAAGUCGAACGGUAACGCGGGGCAACCUGGCGACGAGUGGCGAACGGGUGAGUAAUGCAUCGGAACGUGCCCAGUGGUGGGGGAUAGCCCGGCGAAAGCCGGAUUAAUACCGCAUACGACCUACGGGUGAAAGCGGGGGAUCGCAAGACCUCGCGCUAUUGGAGCGGCCGAUGUCAGAUUAGGUAGUUGGUGGGGUAAAGGCCUACCAAGCCUACGAUCUGUAGCUGGUCUGAGAGGACGACCAGCCAAACCGGGACUGGGACGAGGGCCAGACUCCGACGGGAGGCAGCAGUGGGGAAGUUUGGACAAUGGGCGCAAGCCUGAUCCAGCCAUGCCGCGUGCGGGAAGAAGGCCUUCGGGUUGUAAACCGCUUUUGUCAGGGAAGAAACGCUUCAGGUUAAUACCCUGAGGUAAUGACGGUACCUGAAGAAUAAGCACCGGCUAACUACGUGCCAGCCGCCGCCGUAAAAC